GUCUGCAACUCGACUACAUGAAGCUGGAAUCGCUAGUAAUCGCGGAUCAGAAUGCCGCGGUGAAUACGUUCCCGGGUCUUGUACACACCGCCCGUCACACCAUGGGAGUUGGGAAUGCCCGAAGCCGGUGACCUAACCGAGAGGGAGGAGCCGUCGAAGGCAGGUCUGAUGACUGGGGUGAAGUCGUAACAAGGUAAC
rnacentral:rRNA from 1 species